CUCAGGCUGGCAACAGAGCAG
rnacentral:SRP_RNA from 1 species